GGCUUUUGAUCCCCUGCCUUGCCUGCAUUUGGUGUUGGGUGUCCUGCUGCAGCGCCAGAGUCUGCACAUGCGCAAAACCGCUGCCUUCCGACCCCCGCGGAAGCUGCGUUUUUAACCCAGAGCAACUGGG